rnacentral:rRNA from 2 species
ACAACUUCUAACGGUGAAUCUCUUGGUUCUUGCCU